AGGAGAGAAUCCUAAGGCCGACGGGAGAAGCAUUGUUAAGGAACUCGGCAAAAUGACUCCGUAACUUCGGGAGAAGGAGUGCCAUCGAGAGGUGGCCGCAGAGAAUUGGCCCAAGCAACUGUUUAGCAAAAACACAGGUCUAUGCAAAACCGUAAGGUGAAGUAUAUGGGCUGACGCCUGCCCGGUGCUGGAAGGUUAAGAGGAGAGGUUAGCGGCAACGCGAAGCUUUGAAUUUAAGCCCCAGUAAACGGCGGCCGUAACUAUAACGGUCCUAAGGUAGCGAAAUUCCUUGUCGGGUAAGUUCCGACCCGCACGAAAGGCGUAAUGAUUUGGGCACUGUCUCAACAAUGCACCCGGUGAAAUUGAAAUACCAGUGAAGAUGCUGGUUACCUGCGCCAGGACGGAAAGACCCCAUGGAGCUUUACUCCAGCUUGAUACUGGGAUUCGGUAUUGCAUGUACAGGAUAGGUGGGAGGCUAGGAAGUGAUAACGCCAGUUGUCACGGAGCCGCUGUUGGGAUACCACCCUUGCAGUAUUGGAUUUCUAACCAGCGACCAUGAACUGGUCGGGGGACAAUGUCAGGUGGGGAGUUUGACUGGGGCGGUCGCCUCCGAAAGGGUAUCGGAGGCGCUCAAAGGUUCCCUCAGAAUGGACGGAAACCAUUCGAAGAGUGCAAAGGCAGAAGGGAGCUUGACUGCGACACCGACGGGUGGAGCAGGUACGAAAGUAGGACUUAGUGAUCCGGUGGUAUAAAGUGGGAUUGCCAUCGCUCAACGGAUAAAAGCUACCCUGGGGAUAACAGGCUUAUCACUCCCAAGAGUUCACAUCGACGGAGUGGUUUGGCACCUCGAUGUCGGCUCAUCGCAUCCUGGGGCUGAAGUAGGUCCCAAGGGUUGGGCUGUUCGCCCAUUAAAGCGGUACGCGAGCUGGGUUCAGAACGUCGUGAGACAGUUCGGUCCCUAUCCGGCGUGGGCGUAGGAUAUUUGAGAGGAGCUGCCCUUAGUACGAGAGGACCGGGGUGGACUGGCCGCUGGUGUAUCUGUUGCACUGCCAAGUGCAUGGCAGAGUAGCCAAGCCGGGACGGGAUAAACGCUGAAGGCAUCUAAGCGUGAAGCCCCCCUCAAGAUGAGAUAUCCCAACGCAAGUUGUAAGACCCCUUGAAGACGACGAGGUAGAUAGGACAGAGGUGGAAGUGCAGUAAUGUAUGGAGCUGACUGUUACUAAUCGGUCGAGGGCAUAACCAA
rnacentral:rRNA from 1 species